rnacentral:rRNA from 1 species
CUCCUACGGGAGGCAGCAGUGGGGAAUCUUGCGCAAUGGGCGAAAGCCUGACGCAGCAACGCCGCGUGGGGGAAGAAGGCCUUCGGGUUGUAAACCCCUUUCAGUUGGGACGAAGCUUCCAGUGUUAAUAGCGCUGUGGAGUGACGGUACCUUCAGAAGAAGCCCCGGCUAACUACGUGCCAGCAGCCGCGGUAAUAC